rnacentral:rRNA from 1 species
CCUACGGGCGGCAGCAGUGGGGAAUAUUGCACAAUGGGGGAAACCCUGAUGCAGCGACGCCGCGUGAGUGAAGAAGUAUUUCGGUACGUAAAGCUCUAUCAGCAGGGAAGAAAAUGACGGUACCUGACUAAGAAGCCCCGGCUAACUACGUGCCAGCAGCCGCGGUAAUACGUAGGGGGCAAGCGUUAUCCGGAUUUACUGGGUGUAAAGGGAGCGUAGACGGCAGCGCAAGUCUGGAGUGAAAUCCCAUGGCUUAACCAUGGAACUGCUUUGGAAACUGUGCAGCGAGAGUGCAGGAGAGGUAAGCGGAAUUCCUAGUGUAGCGGUGAAAUGCGUAGAUAUUAGGAGGAACACCAGUGGCGAAGGCGGCUUACUGGACUGUAACUGACGUUGAGGCUCGAAAGCGUGGGGAGCAAACAGGAUUAGAUACCCGAGUAGUC